UUGAGCCGUAUGCGGGGGAACUCGCACGUGCGGUUCUUAGGGGGGGAAAGAGUCUUUAUACCAAUUAUAUUUCCUUCUCAAUUCUAAUAAUUCUAUUUCUUUCUACCAAACAACGUAAUUUGAAUUCCUACUUUAU
rnacentral:ncRNA from 1 species